rnacentral:rRNA from 1 species
AUUGAACGCUGGCGGCAUGCCUUACACAUGCAAGUCGAACGGCAGCGCGGACUUCGGUCUGGCGGCGAGUGGCGAACGGGUGAGUAAUGUAUCGGAACGUACCAUUCAGUGGGGGAUAACGCAGCGAAAGUUGCGCUAAUACCGCAUAUUCUGUGCGCAGGAAAGCAGGGGAUCGCAAGACCUUGUGCUGAUUGAGCGGCCGAUAUCAGAUUAGCUAGUUGGUGAGGUAAAGGCUCACCAAGGCGACGAUCUGUAGCGGGUCUGAGAGGAUGAUCCGCCACACUGGAACUGAGACACGGUCCAGACUCCUACGGGAGGCAGCAGUGGGGAAUUUGGACAAUGGGCGCAAGCCUGAUCCAGCCAUGCCGCGUGAGUGAAGAAGGCCUU